rnacentral:lncRNA from 1 species
CACGGUCCGGGCCGAGGCGGAGCGGGGCUCGGGUCCUCACAGGACUGCGAGUCAGAGUUUCCCCCUCGCGCCAGCGCCGCCUCAAAGGUCAGGGCUCGCCCACUCUCCGGUGGCGCCCGCCUGACCUUUCGUGGGCUCCCAGGGAAGUUCUCCGCGGCGUUGGGAACCCGCCCAUCAGCUGGGCGCCGAGGCCCCAGCCUUUUAUCUCCAGCACUCGGGGUCAGAGGCAGGAGGAUGGCCGCGAGCUCCAGUUCUAGUCGAGACUGAGCUGCUAUGUGGGACAGUCUCAAACAGAGAUGAAAAACGUUAACUUGACGCUGCAAGUGCACGAGUCACAGGCACCGUCUGCUCGGAUGACCGUGACGUGAGAAAGAUGAAACACAGCGAUUGCUGAACCGCACCGACUUCCUGAAACCUGGGAGGCUUUUGGCUUGUGCUUCUUCCCACCUUGCAUAAUGACUUGUCAGCUGUUGAGUGAAAAGGCUCGUGGAUAGGAUGGGGCUGUUCUGACAGACUAACAGGUGUCUUCAUGACCAGUGUCACAGCAGUCUGUUUUGGUAAAUGGCUGGAUUUUUUGGCUUUCUUCUGUAAAUGUGUGAUGAGAAGUUUCUUUGAAUUGUCACCAGAGUUACUGGCACUAUUUACUAAUGCUGGCAGCGUGUAUGGUGGGCAGAGUGUGAAUCCUGGCAUUAGAAUAUCUGAGUUUUCCCCCAAGACUGCAAAAUCUUACAUUCACUCUCCUCUACCUCAGUCUUCAUAUCUGUAAAAUGAAAGUUAUGAUGCUGUAUUAGUUACUUUUCUCCUUGCUGUAACAAAGUAUCUACAGCAACUUGAGGAAGGGGGCCGGUAUUCUGCUUAAGGAAGGGGUUGGAGUCCAUCACGACAGGCAUCUGGUCACACUGCAUUGGCACUCAAGAAGUGGGUCUAUGGAUGCCAGGGCUGUUUGCCUUGCUUUUGUGCAUUGAGGGACUGCCCCGCCCCUCACCCACCCCAUGGAAUGAUGCCACCCACAUUUACAGGGGUCUUUCCACCUCCACAUAACCUAAGUAAUUCUCCCUAGAUACUUCCAGAGCCUUGUUUCUGUGGCGAUGCUACAUCUUGUCACAUUGCCAAUAGGAACCAUCACAGACACCUUCCAGACUCAAUGAGAAAACAAACAUUAGCGUUUUGGCUAAAAAUACUGUGAUCAAGUUGGGUGUAUGGCACAUGCUUUUAACUCCAACACUCAGGAAGCAGAAGCAGGCAGGUCUCUGUGAGGCCCGCAGGACCAGCCAGGGCUACAUAGUGAGAGCCUCUUAAAAAAAAAAAAAAAAAAAAGACUGAGCACUUUGGGAGAGAGGAUAAAUAAAGAGUUGGAAGGAUGGAAGGCCAGGGCUCCUGCUGUGUGAGUUAGCACCUACUUUAUAGUAAAGGCUGCUUCCCUUGUGUUUUGAGGAACCCUGGCAGUAGCUCUGGAGAGAAGCUCUUCUUACCAAGCCAUGGCUUUUCAAGGCUUUGCUCAAUCCUGUCUUUACAUUCAUUCUGUUGGCAAGACCAACACCCAGAGUGAAGGGGGGAAAACCCGCACAGCAUACAUGCAGCUGGAAGGGGAAAGAACUAUCUGGGGUUGGAGGAAGAGUCCAUCUACCACAAGAAACAAUAAUAUUUGAUAGUUUUUAAAGAGUCAUUUAAUUUUUAAUUAUGUUUCUCGCUGUGUGUAG